UACGAGGGGGGCAAGCGUUGCUCGGAAUUAUUGGGCGUAAAGGGUAGGUAGGUGGUCUCAUUUGUCUGGGGUGAAAGCCUUGAGCUUAACUCAAGAAGUGCCCCGGAAACGGUGAGACUGGAGUCCUGGAGAGGGUCGUGGAAUUCCCGGUGUAGCGGUGAAAUGCGUAGAGAUCGGGAGGAACACCAGAGGCGAAGGCGGCGACCUGGACAGGCACUGACACUCAACUACGAAAGCGUGGGGAGCAAACAGG
rnacentral:rRNA from 1 species